rnacentral:rRNA from 1 species
AUACGUAGGUGGCGAGCGUUGUCCGGAUUUACUGGGUGUAAAGGGCGCGUAGGCGGGAAUGCAAGUCAGGUGUGAAAUCUAUGGGCUCAACCCAUAAACUGCACUUGAAACUGCGUUUCUUGAGUGUCGGAGAGGUAGAUGGAAUUCCUAGUGUAGCGGUGAAAUGCGUAGAUAUUAGGAGGAACACCAGUGGCGAAGGCGAUCUGCUGGACGAUAACUGACGCUGAGGCGCGAAAGCGUGGGGAGCAAACAGGAUUAGAUACCCUGGUAGGCCACGCCGUAAACGAUGAAUACUAGGUGUGGGUGGGACUGACCCCAUCCGUGCCGCAGCUAACGCAAUAAGUAUUCCACCUGGGGAGUACGGCCGCAAGGCUGAAACUCAAAUGAAUUGACGGGG